UCUGCUCCAUACCACCUUUAGCGUGCCCCAUCUCGUCUGAUCUUGGAAGCUAAGCCUGGUUCGUCCUGGUUAGUACUUGGAUGGAAGGCCACCUGGGAGUACUGGGUACUGGUCACAU
rnacentral:rRNA from 1 species